ACCUGUUCCACUAUUAUAUUUACCUGGACGACAACGCAUUUCGUUUUUCAAUCUCCCGUGCAACACGGGCCGUGUGCUCACCUUCUUGUCGAUCACAUCGACGUCGCCACGCCACGCCACCGCCGGCCAACCCCGUCUCCUCUUUCUAGAACAAGAACGAAGCGAAGGCCAAAGCAUAUGGGAACAGCUUCGGUUGCUUCCAAUCUCAUCUGUUUGCCGUAGAGAGAUCUUUGCUGGGCUGGAAAUUCUCAGCAAUUUCGCACUUUUUUUUUUUGGAGAAGGCGCGUUGUUGUAGUAGGUGGUAUGGCAAGCGGCGGGAGGGUCAUCUACAAGCGCGCCGCGCCGGGCGGGAGGCACCUCCACCGAUCCAAGAUCUCCGAUGAUGAGGACGAUGAGGAGUAUGUCUUGGAGGAGGAAGAUGAUGAGGAGGAGAGCUCUGAUGAAGCCCUCGACGCGUCCGAUGCUUCUAAGGAAGAGUUCGAGUUUGGGGGGUCCACCUGCGGUUCCGAUGAUGUUAAUCGGCCGGCGGUUAAGCUCGAUGAGGAGGAUGAGAUCUCGUUGUGGCGGAGGCCCAAACGUCUGAAGUGCUUUUCUAGAGCCAAAAAGAGGGCGGUGAAGAAACCUAGGGUUUCAUAUUAUGACGACGAUGACUAUAAGGCCGAGGAGGAGGAAGAAGAGGAGGAAGAAGAAGAAUUAGAAGAAGAAGAAGAAGAAGAAGAAGAAGAAGAAGAAGAAGAGGAAAUUCCAUCUCUUAGGAGGAGGAGAAAGAACAUAAAUUCACGUGCAGUUAGAUCUCGCUACCAGAAGACCAAAAGAUCAGAUUAUGAUGAAGUGGAGAUGGAGGGAGAAGAAGAGUAUGGAAAAAAGGAAAUUUUAUCUCUCAGGAACAGGGGAAGGAACGGAAAUGCAUCUCGAGUUAGAUCUUACCACCGAAGGAGUAAAGGUUCAGAGUAUAAGGAAGAGGAGAUAGAGGAAGAAGAAGAAACUGAUGAAAAAGAAGUUUUAUCGCUUAGAAAGAGAGGGAGGUACAGAAAUUCACCAGCAGCUCAACCUCACAACCAACAGGCCAAAGGUUCAGAUUAUGAGGAAGAGGAGAUGGAGGAGGAAGAUGAAAAGGAUGAGGAUUUCUCACCUGAUGAGCAGGAUCUUGUUGAUGAGGAAGUCUCAAUGCCUUCUGGAUUGAAAAAGCAAGGACAAAUGAAGAAGGGUGGUAUGAUGCAGGAGCAAUGGAUUUCAAGGCAAAAGAAAAGGGGAAACAGAUGCCAGAAGAGAUCUGAGCAUGAUGAUGGUUUUAUUGUGAAAGAUCGUGUUGCUGCCAGUAGAAAGACCAAGACAACCAAGAAAGCGAGGAAGAUGAGCUCAACAUCAAAGGACACCAAGAAGAAAUUGUUGGAGGAGUCAGAUACGCCUGAUUUUGAUUUUGUAAGUUCUGAUGAUGAUUUUGUAGAGGAAGCCAUUAUGUUGGAUGAACCAAGGAACAAGAGCAGGAGUAUCCAGAAGACUAAAAGUUCUGUGAUAAGAAGGCAAAAAGUGUCACUUGAGGAAUCAGAAUCUUGUUCAGAUGGUGAUUAUAACAUUUCUGAGCAUGUGUUGAGGGAUCUGGGGAGUAGUGGGAUUGUGAAUCUGCUACAGACAGAUAGGAUAGUUGCUCGAAUAAAAAGCGUUGAGAAAGGUAAGGAGAAAGAAAAUGAGGAAUCAGGGAAGCCAUUGUGUGGUAUUUGCUUGACAGAGGAACAUAGAACAACAGUUAGAGGAAUGUUGAAUUCUUGCACUCAUUUUUUUUGUUUUCCAUGUAUAAUGGAGUGGUCAAAGGUAGAGUCACGAUGCCCUGUUUGCAAGAGGAGGUUUGGAACCAUUACCAAGUCCUCUAGAUCAGAUCCAGGGUUCGGGUUAAGGAAAGCAAUUAUCAAAGUUGAAAAGCGUGAUCAGGUUUAUCAACCUUCUGAGGAAGAAAUAAGGCGAAUGCUGGAUCCAUACGAAAAUGUGGUAUGCAUAGAAUGCCAUCAAGGUGGAGAUGAUACUCUCAUGUUGCUGUGUGAUAUCUGUGAUUCGCCUGCUCACACAUAUUGUGUUGGUCUUGGGAGGGAAGUGCCAGAAGGCAAUUGGUACUGUGAGUGUUGUAAAUCUGCAGUUGAUGAUUCAUCAUACUUGCAAAAUCAAGAUUUUGGGGAUGAUCAAGCAGCUGGCAAUAUUGACAUGUUAGGCAGUCUCAUUGAAACAGAGGUUUCAACCCCUUGUGGUAAUACAAAUUUUCAUAGAUCAAGUCAACCUUAUUUCCAUGAAAUUGAUCUGAAUGUUUCGCCAAGAUCAGUGGAAAAUAGCAGUUAUAUAUCUCAGCCCCAUGGUGUUGGACCAUCAACUGUUUUGGGUCGACGUGCACUACAGCAACGUAUAUGCAUCAUGUUGUCCAAUGAUAGAUUGAGGCAAAGUUUUCAGGAGACUCGAGCAUCACAGGGCAAUGUAGGAACUGAUUUUAUGAUAUCAGAAAUUGGACGAAGGAUGGAAAACUCACACAGCUCGCAAAGGUUGAGUUCUUGGAACAGAGUGUCAGUUUCUGAACAGUGCUAUCAGAACGAUAAGCCUUCUUUAUAAUCUGAAGCUAGUUUAGCUCAGUGCACUACAGAAGGCUUAAGUUUAAUAUUUGAAUGAUGCCAUGCGGGAGUAUACUCCCUUACAAAGUGUCAUUUAAAAGAAUUAUUCAGGGAUUCUGCACUUGAAGAUGCAUGCAUCAGAGUUACCUCUAUCAACUAGAAUCAUGGUCUUGGGACAUCAAUUUUGAUAAGCUUGGAACUGAAGGAACCAUAUAUCCUCCUUGAUCGGUACACUAAAGGAGAUAUGACCAGAAACUAAUCAAUGGAUUUCUGAAGAAUCAAUAAGAAAUCAUAUGGAAGGAAUGCAAAUAUGCAAACCAAUCUAGAAAUCUGCAGAUCAAUGGAAGUAGAAGCACUCCAGCCAUAGAUAAUGAAAGACGGGAGGUAGAAGCACUCCAGCCAUGAAUAACGAUAGAACUAUAGUUGCAAAGAAGAAUAAAAUAUUUGUUGACUGGAUUUGGUGCAGAACUUAGUUUGGAUUAAGGUUCAGCUAGAGGGAAACAAAAUUUUGGUGGAAACCGAUUUGACAAUAGAUCAAUUACAGAGGUUUAAAGAGAAGAAGAUGCAUUUGUUGAGAUUCCAAAACCUUGCUGCUUCAUAUGAAGGUUCCCCUGCAAAUCCGGGUGACAUUAUUCUUAUUGCAUAUCGCCUUAUAAGUAUUAUAUGCCUUCUUCAAACCUUCAUGGUUUUCCAGUAAUAACUAGCUCAAACCAAUCUGGCAGAUCACCUUUUAGGGAAUUCGUUCUGAUUUUCUGCGUGGUUUGUGAAGAUCAAGAGACUGGAGAGGAUUUGAAUGUAAUGUGUGGUGGAAGCAUCACAGAGAAGAGUUUCUUCUCCUGUUCAUUCUCCCACCCGUUAAGAUAAUUUGGAUCAAGAACAAAGGUUUCCAUCUGAAGGUUGUUACAUAGUAAAUUUUUGCUGCAAUUGCUGUUUGUCACUGCCUGGAUCAUCUCCUGCCACUGUUCGAUCAUACGAUUUCUGCUUGUACCAUCGACAAAAUCAGCCUGGUUUCACAGUUUGAUUCUGAUAGAAUGAAUCAGUGGAUUACAUAGAAGAUUGCCUGCAAGGUUGAAAAAGGUUUGUGACUGCUUUUAUCCUGCCCAGUCCAAUUGAUAAAAUAUUUUGUUUAUUUGGAAUGAUGCUGCGCAUUUGAUAUCCAGCGUCGACAAAGAUCCAAUGUUCAAUUUUCCCCCCCUCUUUCAAUUAACUCGGGAGGAUCGUUGACAUUCAUUGCUUUUGUGGAUGACAAAUAUGAUUUCCUUGGGUGUACAUGAUGGUGGCAUCACGUCUAGUUGUUCCUGGACUUCGAUUCAAGAUUGCAUUCUGAAAGAUUUUGUGAAAUUUUGAAAUUUC